GACGAACGCUGGCGGCGUGCUUAACACAUGCAAGUCGAACGGAAAGGCCCUGCUUUUGUGGGGUGCUCGAGUGGCGAACGGGUGAGAAACACGUGAGUAACCUGCCCUUGACUUUGGGAUAACUUCAGGAAACUGGGGCUAAUACCGGAUAGGAGCUCCUGCUGCAUGGUGGGGGUUGGAAAGUUGCGGCGGUUGGGGAUGGAGUCGCGGCUUAUCCGCUUUUUGGUGGGGUAGUGGCUUACCAAGGCUUGGACGGGUAGCCGGCCUGGGAGGGAGACCGGGCCCAUAGGGCUAGGGGAGGGGGCCGGAUGCAAACGGGGGCAAGGGGCGGAAACUUUACGGAGAAGGGCGGAGGGCUGGAGGAGGAGCGCCGGGUCGGGAAAGGCGGCCUUGGGGUUAGAACACGUGUGCGCGUAACAAGGAACGUGGUGACGGUAAAUGGUAAGAAAGCCACGGCUAACUACGUG
rnacentral:rRNA from 1 species